rnacentral:rRNA from 1 species
CCUACGGGUGGCAGCAGUGGGGAAUAUUGGACAAUGGGCGAAAGCCUGAUCCAGCCAUGCCGCGUGUGUGAAGAAGGCCUUCGGGUUGUAAAGCACUUUCAGUGGGGAAGAAAGCCUUGGGGCGAAUACCCUCGAGGAAGGACAUCACCCACAGAAGAAGCACCGGCUAACUCCGUGCCAGCAGCCGCGGUAAUACGGAGGGUGCGAGCGUUAAUCGGAAUUACUGGGCGUAAAGCGCGCGUAGGCGGUCUGAUAAGCCGGUUGUGAAAGCCCCGGGCUCAACCUGGGAACGGCAUCCGGAACUGUCAGGCUAGAGUGCAGGAGAGGAAGGUAGAAUUCCCGGUGUAGCGGUGAAAUGCGUAGAGAUCGGGAGGAAUACCAGUGGCGAAGGCGGCCUUCUGGACUGACACUGACGCUGAGGUGCGAACGCGUGGGUAGCAAACAGGAUUAGAUACCCCGGUAGUC